AUUGAACGCUGGCGGCAGGCCUAACACAUGCAAGUCGAGCGAGCGGCGCACGGGUGUGUAAUGUAUGUGGACUGCCCGCUAUUUGGGCUUAACUUCUGGAAACGGUGGCUAAUACCGCAUACUAUCGGAUAACCCAUAUGGGAUUAGCUAGUAGGUGGGGUAAAGGCUCACCUAGGCGACGAUCUCUAGCAGGUCUGCGAGGAUGAUAAGCCACACUGGGACUGAGACACGGCCCAGCCUCCCACGGAGGCAGGAGUGGGGAAUAUUGCGCAAUGGGCGCAUGCCUGAUGGAGCCAUGCCGCGUGUAUGAGGAAGGCCUUAGGGUUGUAGAGUACUUUCAGCGGGGAGGCGUUACCCGCAGAAGAAGCACCGGCUAACUCCGUGCCAGCAGCCGCGGUAAUUC
rnacentral:rRNA from 1 species